UUUUGCAUUCCCACCCCUAUCUUUUUUUCAGCCGCCACUUUCUUUUUCUGCCUUCUUCUUCCUCCAGCGAGCAGCAAGCGCAGGGAGCUCAGCUCCUCCCCUCGGCCACCAUGGUGCCCUCCUCCCUGGCGCUCGCUCCCUGCAGGGAGCAGUUUCCCUUGGCCGACGCCCCAGCCAUGGCGCCUUUCUUCCCCGCGCAGCGCCUCGGCUCUCCCUCCCCCAAGCUCCAGCGUUCAUGGAACAGCAGGUCACUGGCGCCCCUGUUUUUCCCUGCGACUUCCAUGGUCGCGAGUUUCCCCUGGUCGCCAUCUCUCCAGUGCGUCCCCUGCAGGCGAGCAGCGAUUUCCAUCUCCCUGCAACCUCCAAGGCUGAGCCCCUCCUCCCUCUGUUCGGCGCCCUUGCUGCUGGACGCGCAGAGCCCCAUGGCACCCUGAUUUCUAGCUCCCUCCCAUGGAGGCCCAGAAAAAUCCCCCAGCCGAGCCCCCAAGCAGGCGCCCAGAAAUUCCAGCAGCCUCUCCAUGGCCGAGCUCCCUAUUCCCUCUGCUCUAGCCGGCCAUCUCCCGUAGCACACGCCGAGCUCCCCUUCGAUCCGGUUCAGCGCAGGCAGCAGCAGCUUCUAUGGAUGACGCCCAGAAUUUUUUUUUCUUUUCAGCGCCUCCCUGUUCAUCUUCCUCCCAGCCGACUUUCCUCCCCUGCUGCUGCUCGCCCCUUCCUCCUUUUCCCUGGUGCGGCAGCAAGGAGCCCCUGCUCGGAGUGCAGCCGUGGCGUCCAAGUCUCUGCGCAGCGGUGCCGAUCCAAAACAGCAGCCCCGAUGGCUCCGCGCGCUGCCGGCUUGCUGUUUUGUGUUGCGCAGUGAGCAGCACGCCAUCGACGCUCGACAGGUGUUUGCUGUUUUUGCGCAGCCCCAUCCGUGACGCCGUCGAAACCCGUGCUAGUGGUCGACGUCGUGCCUUGCCCGUUCGACGAAAUACCGAGCCAUGUGGACAGCCAUGCGUCUAGUCACGACCCGUUCAGGACCGAGAGAUGCUGACCGUGCAAGUGAUGUGGUGCCAACCACAAGAUGCAGUCGGUGGACGACCCAAGGAAGGAUGGACUUAACCGGUGGAUGCUCGCCAAGCGAGUACCCCCCCUGCAAACACUAUCUAAGUGUUAAAAUAAAGGCAAGCCCUGGUUUUAUGCAUAACCGUUAUAUAUGCUAUUUUACUGCACUUAAUGUUUGUAGGCUUGUACUGUGCACUUAAGUGUAGGAGUUGACUGGGACCUUAGUUGCAUGAACUCAGGAUUCCUAUUGAGAUGAAUACUAGUAUGCUAGGUCGAGUAGCUGCUUUAUUAAAUAGGGAUCUCGAUAGAAGUCGAGUGAUUUUUCUAGCACUCGCGCGAGGUCAGGACAUUGAUUGUACCCACUUUCAUAUCAUACUGAUGUUGGUCUGUGGACACGGAUCCAUGGGGAUGCGUGGUCUACGAGAUGAAAUUGGAAUAAGGAUUAACGUGCGGAUACCUAUGUCAAGCGUUUGAAUGUACUAAACAUAUGCCGAGAAAUAUGGUAAAUCGGUAAGCCUAGUACCUGAGUGAACCUGACAGUGGACAUAUCCCCUCACGCGACCUGAGACGUGGUCUCCCAUUCCGGUUAUGGUGGGUACAAGUGCGGUCACUGCACGACGGCAGUCGGGGUCAGUGAGGCAUUGUACGCCAAGGCGGUGAGCCCUGAUCUGCUGACGGGGAAUCGAUGGGGACGGUUGAUGUGUGUGGGGACGGAGUGCCCCUACUUGUCGUGUGUUUAGGUUUACCUUGCAAGGAUAAAAACUCGAUCCGAAUCGUCUGCUUCUCGCAGCUAAUGAGACUGCUUGAUCCAUUGUACUGCAUUGAGUAAUAAGUGGAAAUGAGGUGACUGGCAAAAGAUGUUGAUUGAUAAAAUGUUUGAUACCAUGUAUGAGUAGCUAGGUACUCACCUAGUUUAAAAAGGAGCAUACUAAAACUUGAAAAGCUAAAACUUGAUUUUAGACUCAGCUAGUGCUUUUGGCAAACCAAACCCCUCAGCCAAACAGCUGCAUGUCUAGAGGUAGAGGAGUAGACUCCUCACACCGGGUAAGUCUAGCUGAGUAUUAGUAUACUCAGCCUUGCUUGUGGCAUAAUUUUUGCAGGUACUCCUUAGGAUGGUUUGUUGAUGGUGUGACUUGGCCUUCAUCCCUGCCACCGGGAUAGACGGUCGAGUGGGUUACUGCUUCCGCAGGAGAGGACCAGGAGGAGUAGCGUGGCCAGGCUUCGCCAUGUUACUCGGUUUUCUCCGUUAGUUAUUUCCGCUGCAAUAAAUUUAUGUUUAUCAUUUUUGAAACUCCGAUAAUGUAAUCACUAAUGAUACUUAUUAAAUUGUGGUAUUAUGUUUUA